rnacentral:rRNA from 1 species
AUUGAACGCUGGCGGCAGGCCUAACACAUGCAAGUCGAGCGGGGUUUUCGGACCUAGCGGCGGACGGGUGAGUAAUGCGUAGGAAGCUGCCCGAUAGAGGGGGAUACCAGUUGGAAACGACUGUUAAUACCGCAUAAUGUCUACGGACCAAAGUGUGGGACCUUCGGGCCACAUGCUAUCGGAUGCGCCUACGUGGGAUUAGCUAGUUGGUGAGGUAAUGGCUCACCAAGGCGACGAUCUCUAGCUGGUUUGAGAGGAUGAUCAGCCACACUGAAACUGAGACACGGUCCAGACUCCUACGGGAGGCAGCAGUGGGGAAUAUUGGACAAUGGGCGCAAGCCUGAUCCAGCCAUGCCGCGUGUGUGAAGAAGGCCUUCGGGAUGUAAAGCACUUUCAGCGAGGAGGAAGGGUGGUGUGUUAAUAGCACAUCAUUUUGACGUUACUCGCAGAAGAAGCACCGGCUAACUCUGUGCCAGCCGCCGCGGUAAGAC